rnacentral:rRNA from 1 species
GACGAACGCUGGCGGCGUGCCUAAUACAUGCAAGUAGAACGCUGAAGAAGAGGAGCUUGCUCUUCUUGGAUGAGUUGCGAACGGGUGAGUAACGCGUAGGUAACCUGCCUUGUAGCGGGGGAUAACUAUUGGAAACGAUAGCUAAUACCGCAUAACAAUGGAUGACACAUGUCAUUUAUUUGAAAGGGGCAAUUGCUCCACUACAAGAUGGACCUGCGUUGUAUUAGCUAGUAGGUGAGGUAACGGCUCACCUAGGCGACGAUACAUAGCCGACCUGAGAGGGUGAUCGGCCACACUGGGACUGAGACACGGCCCAGACUCCUACGGGAGGCAGCAGUAGGGAAUCUUCGGCAAUGGGGGCAACCCUGACCGAGCAACGCCGCGUGAGUGAAGAAGGUUUUCGGAUCGUAAAGCUCUGUUGUAAGUCAAGAACGAGUGUGAGAGUGGAAAGUUCACACUGUGACGGUAGCUUACCAGAAAGGGACGGCUAACUACGUGCCAGCAGCCGCGGUAAUACGUAGGUCCCGAGCGUUGUCCGGAUUUAUUGGGCGUAAAGCGAGCGCAGGCGGUUUGAUAAGUCUGAAGUUAAAGGCUGUGGCUCAACCAUAGUUCGCUUUGGAAACUGUCAAACUUGAGUGCAGAAGGGGAGAGUGGAAUUCCAUGUGUAGCGGUGAAAUGCGUAGAUAUAUGGAGGAACACCGGUGGCGAAAGCGGCUCUCUGGUCUGUAACUGACGCUGAGGCUCGAAAGCGUGGGGAGCGAACAGGAUUAGAUACCCUGGUAGUCCACGCCGUAAACGAUGAGUGCUGGGUGUUGGAUCCUUUCCGGGAUUCAGUGCCGCAGCUAACGCAUUAAGCACUCCGCCUGGGGAGUACGACCGCAAGGUUGAAACUCAAAGGAAUUGACGGGGGCCCGCACAAGCGGUGGAGCAUGUGGUUUAAUUCGAAGCAACGCGAAGAACCUUACCAGGUCUUGACAUCCCGAUGCUAUUUCUAGAGAUAGAAAGUUACUUCGGUACAUCAGUGACAGGUGGUGCAUGGUUGUCGUCAGCUCGUGUCGUGAGAUGUUGGGUUAAGUCCCGCAACGAGCGCGACCCCUAUUGUUAGUUGCCAUCAUUCAGUUGGGCACUCUAGCGAGACUGCCGGUAAUAAACCGGAGGAAGGUGGGGAUGACGUCAAAUCAUCAUGCCCCUUAUGACCUGGGCUACACACGUGCUACAAUGGUUGGUACAACGAGUUGCGAGUCGGUGACGGCAAGCUAAUCUCUUAAAGCCAAUCUCAGUUCGGAUUGUAGGCUGCAACUCGCCUACAUGAAGUCGGAAUCGCUAGUAAUCGCGGAUCAGCACGCCGCGGUGAAUACGUUCCCGGGCCU